rnacentral:rRNA from 1 species
GUAGGGAAUAUUGCGCAAUGGGGGAAACCCUGACGCAGCGACGCCGCGUGAGUGAUGAAGGCCUUCGGGUCGUAAAGCUCUGUUGCAGGGGAAUAAAAAAAUGAAGGUACCCUGUGAGGAAGGAUCGGCUAACUUCGUGCCAGCAGCCGCGGUAAGACGAGGGAUCCUAGCGUUGCUCGGAAUCAUUGGGCGUAAAGAGGGCGUAGGUGGCUUGGUAAGUCAGGUGUGAAAGCCCAGGGCUCAACCCUGGAAGUGCAUUCGAUACUGCUGAGCUUGAGUGUCGGAGAGGUUACCGGAAUACCUGGUGUAGUGGUGAAAUACGUAGAUAUCAGGUGGAACACCGGAGGCGAAGGCGGGUAACUGGACGAACACUGACACUGAGGCCCGAAAGCGUGGGGAUCAAACAGGAUUAGAAACCCUUGUAGUCC